UGGGGAAUAUUGGACAAUGGGCGCAAGCCUGAUCCAGCCAUGCCGCGUGAGUGAUGACGGCCUUAGGGUUGUAAAGCUCUUUUACCUGGGAAGAUUAUGACGGUACCAGGAGAAUAAGCCCCGGCUAACUUCGUGCCAGCAGCCGCGGUAAUACGAAGGGGGCUAGCGUUGUUCGGAUUUACUGGGCGUAAAGGGCGCGUAGGCGGACCUGUAAGUCAGGGGUGAAAUCCCAAGGCUCAACCUUGGAACUGCCUUUGAUACUGUGGGUCUUGAGUUCGAGAGAGGUAAGUGGAACUGCGAGUGUAGAGGUGAAAUUCGUAGAUAUUCGCAAGAACACCAGUGGCGAAGGCGGCUUACUGGCUCGAAACUGACGCUGAGGCGCGAAAGCGUGGGGAGCAAACAG
rnacentral:rRNA from 1 species